GUCCUCUUGUUUUCUUAAGAGGUCUGGCCUGCCCAGUGAAAAUUUAACGGCCGCGGUAUUUUGACCGUGCAAAGGUAGCAUAAUCAUUAGUCUUUUAAUAGAGGGCUGGAAUGAAAGGUUUAACGAAACAUUAACUGUCUCAUUUAUAUAAAUUAUAAUUUAAUUUUUAAGUUAAAAAGCUUAAAUUUUGUUGUAGGACGAGAAGACCCUAUAGAGUUUUAUAUUAAAAUUUUUAAUAAAUAAUUUGAUUCAUAAUUUUUAAUUAAUUUUUUUACUAUUUUGUUGGGGUGACAAAAAUAUAUAAUUAACUAUUUUAUUUAAUAAACAUGAAUUUAUGAUUAUUUGAUCCAUUAUUAUUGAUUGUUAGAUUAAAUUACCUUAGGGAUAACAGCGUAAUCUUUUUUUGGAGUUCAAAUUUACAAAAAGGCUUGCGACCUCGAUGUUGGAUUAAGAUAAUAAUUUGGUGCAGUAGCUAAAUUAAUAGGUCUGUUCGACCUUUAAAUUCUUACAUGAUCUGAGUUCAGACCGG
rnacentral:rRNA from 1 species